rnacentral:lncRNA from 1 species
GCUCCAGGAAGGCAGGCCUGUCUGUGUUCACUGCUGAGCCCGCCCGGAAGGCACCGUUUACGAAGCACCUUGCACGUCCGGCUCCAUCUCGGUGAUCUGGGCUGGAGACCUCGGACUCAGGGCAGUGCCAGCUGGGCCCCAAGUGGAGGUGACAGCUGGGGACCAGAAGGGGCUACCGCAUAGCCGGGGAGUGAGGGGCUGGUGCUGGCCAAGGCGCCUCUGACUGACCUCUGCUCUCUCGCCAAGUACCCAGGAGAUGUCCCAGAAAGAACGGCAGCUCCACUGAGAUCUUGAACCU